GUGAAUCAUCGAAUCUUUGAACGCAACUUGCACCAUCCAGAAGUGGAUGGUAUGUCUGUUUGAGUACGAUUAAAAACUGCGCUUCGGUGCGAUGUGGCCCACAGGGUGGGUUGAAAAUGAGCCAGUCAGGCUGGACGGUCUGGCAGUGUGCUAGGGAUCAUGGGUGUGGGAGUGGGCGGUGCUGUGGGCGUGUGGAAUGUAGGUGCAGAAGUGCAUUCGCAAUCCACACUGCGCACAACACCACCCCCUCGCAUGCUCACUGUCUUGUCGCUGUCGGCGCUAACCAGCCAUCAAUUCAAU
rnacentral:misc_RNA from 1 species